CCUACGGGUGGCAGCAGUGAGGAAUAUUGGUCAAUGGACGAGAGUCUGAACCAGCCAAGUAGCGUGAAGGAUGACUGCCCUAUGGGUUGUAAACUUCUUUUAUAUGGGAAUAAAAUGUUCCACGUGUGGGAUUUUGUAUGUACCAUAUGAAUAAGGAUCGGCUAACUCCGUGCCAGCAGCCGCGGUAAUACGGAGGAUCCGAGCGUUAUCCGGAUUUAUUGGGUUUAAAGGGAGCGUAGGUGGAUUGUUAAGUCAGUUGUGAAAGUUUGCGGCUCAACCGAAAAAUUGCAGUUGAAACUGGCAGUCUUGAGUACAGUAGAGGUGAGCGGAAUUCGUGGUGUAGCGGUGAAAUGCUUAGAUAUCACGAAGAACUCCGAUUGCGAAGGCAGUUCACUGGACUGCAACUGACACUGAGGCUCGAAAGUGUGGGUAUCAAACAGGAUUAGAUACCCCAGUAGUC
rnacentral:rRNA from 1 species